rnacentral:lncRNA from 1 species
GAUCUUACGGCGGUUUAGAUAAAUCUUUAAUUAACUAAUUACUAAUAAUUAAUAUCAAUAUAUACUUUAUUCACAAUUUAUGUAGAAAAGUUGAGUCAUCGAGGUUGAACGUAGUUGCCACGUCUUCAUAUUUUUCAAUUCAACGUUUCUACUGUCCUUUUGUUUAUCAAAAUCCUCGUCUUUUUUUUACCUCAUCAACCCUAUAAAGAAUUCUGCUCAAUUAUUAGAGAAUUUCCGAUAAAAAUUGAUCAUAAUUUUUGUUAUCUGGGUUCUGGGAGAUUCGACGAGGUGAUACUUUCAAUAUGCCCUAGAGGAAUUUUCAUACUUGGUCCUCAAUAUAUAUUUUCUUAAUUACAAGAUCGAUCCUUCACUUUUAAAAAGGAGAAAGUUGAUUCUCAAAAUUUCAAACAUUGAAUUUGUGGGUCUUAUAUGUUUAAGCCUCUAUUUGUCUUCCUUUAUAAAGAGUUUUCGAAAGACAGAAUGUGAUUAAAAAGUUGGAAAAAUGUUUUAAAUUUGAGUGCAAAAUAUUUUAUUAUAAUUUGUAUGAAUGUAUAAUUGAAAAUGAGUUUUGAAAAAGAAAGACAAAUAGGAAUAACUUUAAAAAAUUAAGCCCCCGUUUGAACCCUAUUUUUUGGGAUAAUGUAUUUUAAAAUAGUGAUUUUUUGAAAAAUAUAUAAUUAGAAAAUAAGAAAAAGUUUUGAGUAUACGUGUAAAAUUAUUUUAUAAAAGAGUGUGUGAUUGAAAAUGAAUUUUGAAAAUAAUGAAGCUGAAACAAGAGCUAAAUAUAAUUUUCAACUUGUACUGAUUCUAAAAUGAAGCAUGCUUGCUUGAAUGUUAAUCAAAUUGUGCACUAUAUAUAAUGAGAUAUUGGGACCAACUUUCUCUUUCUGAAAAUUGACAAGCAAUUUGAUAAUAGAUCCAAAGUUUAGGCAUACAGUGAAAUUAUACUUUUCUUGUUUUGUUUUGUUUUUCUUAAACAAGGAAAAUUCCUCGGUUUAUUUGUUUGGAUUUUUGUUGGUUAAGACUUGAUCUUACGGCGGUUUAGAUAAAUCUUUAAUUAACUAAUUACUAAUAAUUAAUAUCAAUAUAUACUUUAUUCACAAUUUAUGUAGAAAAGUUGAGUCAUCGAGGUUGAACGUAGUUGCCACGUCUUCAUAUUUUUCAAUUCAACGUUUCUACUGUCCUUUUGUUUAUCAAAAUCCUCGUCUUUUUUUUACCUCAUCAACUCUAUAAAGAAUUCUGCUCAAUUAUUAGAGAAUUUCCGAUAAAAAUUGAUCAUAAUUUUUGUUAUCUGGGUUCUGGGAGAUUUUCGACCUGGAUAUUGUAUUUCGGUGAGAUUUGUGUUGUAUUGAUGUA